GACGAACGCUGACGGCGUGCCUAACACAUGCAAGUCAAGGGGCCUUCGGUCACUGGCGCACGGGUGAGUAACGCGUAGAUUAUCUACCCAUAUCUCUGACAUAACUGCUGGAAACGGUAGCUAAUAUCAGAUGAGGCCUACGGGUCAAAGUUUUAAUGGAUAUGGAUGAGUCUGCGUCUGAUUAGCUAGUUGGUAGUGUAAUGGACUACCAAGGGCUACGAUCAGUAACUGGUCUGAGAGGACGAUCAGUCACACUGGAACUGAGACACGGUCCAGACUCCUACGGGAGGCAGCAGUGAGGAAUUUUGGACAAUGGGGAAACCCGUAGAUCCAGCGACGCCGUGUGUGGGAGUGAAUA
rnacentral:rRNA from 1 species